GACGAACGCUGGCGGCGUGCUUAACACAUGCAAGUCGAGCGGUAAGGCCCUUUCGGGGGUACGACGAGCGGCGAACGGGUGAGUAACACGUGGGUGACCUGCCCUUAGCUCUGGGAUAAGCCUGGGAAACUGGGUCUAAUACCGGAUAUGACUCCAUGACGCAUGUUGUGGGGUGGAAAGCCUUGUGCGGCUAGGGAUGGGCCCGCGGCCUAUCAGCUUGUUGGUGGGGUGAUGGCCUACCAAGGCGACGACGGGUAGCCGGCCUGAGAGGGCGACCGGCCACACUGGGACUGAGACACGGCCCAGACUCCUACGGGAGGCAGCAGUGGGGAAUCUUGCGCAAUGGGCGAAAGCCUGACGCAGCGACGCCGCGUGGGGAUGACGGCC
rnacentral:rRNA from 1 species